CCCUUAGAUGUUCUGGGCCGCACGCGCGCUACACUGACUGGUGCAACAAGUGUCUGACCUUGGCUCGAGAGGCCUGGGCAACCUUUGAACGCCAGUCGUGCUGGGGAUAGAUUCUUGCAAUUAUUAAUCUUCAACGAGGAAUUCCUAGUAAACGCAAGUCAUCAGCUUGCAUUGAUUACGUCCCUGCCCUUUGUACACACCGCCCGUCGCACCUACCGAUUGAAUGGUCCGGUGAAUCUUUAGGACUGUGGCUGAGGCCUUGCCUUGUGCGGGUCUGGCCGUGGGAAUUUAGUUAAACCUUACCAUUUAGAGGAAGGUGAAGUCGUAACA
rnacentral:rRNA from 1 species